ensembl:snRNA U6 U6 spliceosomal RNA
AUGCUUUCUUCAGCAGCACAUGCAUUAAAAGUGGAAUGAUACAGGGAAGAUUAGCAUGACCUCUGCACAAGGAUGACACACUAUUUCCUGACAAUCCUUAGGAUACC